UUCCUGGUAGCUCAGCUGGUAAAGAAUCUGCCUGCAAUGCAAGGGACCCUAGUUCAAUUUCUGGGUCAGGAAG
rfam:TPA: Bos taurus chromosome 14, whole genome shotgun sequence.